rnacentral:rRNA from 1 species
AUGGCGAAGCCCCCGGCGCAGGUGGCCCCUGGAUCAGCGUACAAUCUCGUGGAAACGAAGCCGCCCCUUCCCGCGAAGCUCGGCCCGCGCGGCGCGGCGAUGGCGGCAACGAAGAUGGCGUCCACGUAUGACAUGGUGGAGCCGAUGAAGUACCUGUACGUGAGCGUGGUGAAGGCGCGCGACCUGCCCACCAUGGACGUCACCGGCGCGCUGGACCCUUACGUGGAGGUGAAGCUGGGCAACUUCAAAGGCGUGACCAAGCACCUGGUGAAGAACCACAACCCCGUGUGGCGCCAGACGUUCGCCUUCUCCUUUGCCAACCUUCAGUCCAACCAGCUGGAGGUCAUCGUCAAGGACAAGGACACGAUCCACGACGACUUCGUCGGCCGCAUAGUCCUGGACGUGUCCGACAUCCCCGAGUGCAUCCCGCCCGACAGCCCGCUGGCCCCGCAGUGGUACAACCUCUCUGAUGCCCAUGGGGAGAGGUUCCACCAUGGCCACAGCCUCGGCGAGAUCAUGCUCGCCGUCUGGAUCGGCACCCAGGCCGACGAAGCAUUCCCAGAAGCAUACCACUCGGGCGCACACCCGCUGUCGACCGCGGGGCUCACUAACACGCGCUCCAAGGUGUACUACUCCCCCAAGCUCAUCUACCUCAAGGUAUGUGUCAUCGGAGCGAAGGACCUCAUCGGCGCGGAGAAUUCAAAGGACCCGCCGGUCAAGCCCACCAUCGCCAAGAUCCAGAUGGGCGGCCAGAUCCGCCGGACGCGGCCGGGGCAGCCGCCGGCGAACCCGGUGUGGAACGACGAGUUCAUAUUCGUGGCCUGCGAGCCGUUCGAGGACCCGCUGGUGGUGACGGUGGAGGAGAAGGUUGCCGCCGGGAGAGACGAGCCCAUCGGCCGCAUCAUCAUCCCCGUGGCGGCAAACGCGCCGCGCAACGACCUGGCCAAGUCGGUGGCGUCAAAAUGGUUCAACCUGUCGCGUGGGAUGACGGUAGACGAGGCGGCAGCGGAUGUCACGACGGGGACCAAGCACCGUGAGCAUUCCAAGACGUUCGCCAGCAAGAUCCACCUCAAGAUGAGCCUAGAGACGGCGUACCAUGUGGUGGACGAGUCUACGCACUACACCAGCGACCUGCAGCCGGCGGCGAAGAAGCUGCGGAAGAGCGCCAUCGGCAUGCUCGAGGUGGGCAUCCUCAGCGCACGCAGCCUCGGCAGCAACAAGAACCCCUACUGCGUCGCCAAGUAUGGCACCAAGUGGGUGCGCACACGCACGCUGCUCGGUACCGCGGCACACGCCUGGAAUGAGCAGUACAUCUGGGAGGUGUUUGACCUCGGCACCGUCAUCACCGUCGCCGUCUUCAACAACAAAAAUCUCGACGGCCAUGGCGACGACAAGGACGAGAGGAUCGGCAAGGUGCGCGUCCGCCUCUCGGCGUUGGAGUCAGACCGGGUGUACACGCACUACUACCCGCUCAUGGCACUGACCCCGGGUGGGCUUAAGAAAACGGGGGAGCUCCACUUGGCCGUCCGGUUCACUUGCACGGCAUGGGCCAACAUGCUGGCACAGUACGGGCGACCGCUGUUGCCCAAGAUGCACUACACGAGCCCCAUCUCCGUGCUGCAGCUCAACUCCCUCCGGUUCCUAGCGAUGCAGAUGGUGGCGACGCGAUUGGGCAAAGCGGAGCCGCCGCUGCGGCGGGAGGUGGUGGAGUACAUACUGGACGCCGACUCGCACAUGUUCAGCCUGCGCCGGAGCAAGGCCAACUUCAACCGCAUCAUCUCGCUCUUCUCCGGCGCCUUGGCCGCCGGCAAGUGGUUCGACGGCAUCUGCAAGUGGAAGAACCCGCUGACCACCAGCCUCGUCCACGUCUUGUUCCUCAUCCUCGUGUGCUACCCGGAGCUGAUCUUGUCGACGGUGUUCCUGUACAUAUUCCUGAUCGGGGUGUGGAACUACCGACGGCGGCCGCGCAACCCACCGCACAUGGACACGACGCUGUCGCACGCGGAGCAGGCGCAGCCGGACGAGCUGGACGAGGAGUUCGACACGUUCCCGACGUCCAAGCCGGGCGAUGUGGUGCGUAUGAGGUACGACCGUCUCAGGAGUGUCGCCGGCAGGGUGCAGACAGUGGUCGGAGACCUGGCCAUGCAGGGGGAGCGGGCCCAGUCCCUGCUCAGCUGGCGCGAUCCUAGGGCCACCGCUAUGUUCAUCACGCUCUGCUUCAUCAUAGCCAUCGUACUCUACGUGACGCCAUUUCGUGUGGUGGCCGUCCUCGCCGGCCUAUACCUUCUCCGGCACCCUCGGCUUAGGAGCAAGCAGCCGUCCGCUCCCUUCAACUUCUACAGGCGCCUCUCGGCCAAGGGCGAUAUGCUCCUAUGA